GGGGCACGAGGCCGCGGCCGGGGGUCUCUCCAGGGCUGCGUGGCCACCAGCCGCAAGUGACGUGGCUGGUCCAAGUUGAGAUGUGCUAUUCCAAAGGAGGGGAACUACCAUUGCAAGCCUGAAUUCAUUCAUCCAACAGACAUUGAUUGAGUACCUGCACAUCAGGAAGGUCCACACAGUGAUGGGCACUUGUACAAAGAUGAAUAAAAUAGGUUUCCUGUCCUGG